AGUGAACGCUGGCGGUAGGCCUAACACAUGCAAGUCGAACGGCAGCACAGUAAGAGCUUGCUCUUACGGGUGGCGCGUGGCGGACGGGUGAGGAAUACAUCGGAAUCUACUUUUUCGUGGGGGAUAACGUAGGGAAACUUACGCUAAUACCGCAUACGACCUACGGGUGAAAGCAGGGGAUCUUCGGACCUUGCGCGAUUGAAUGAGCCGAUGUCGGAUUAGCUAGUUGGCGGGGUAAAGGCCCACCAAGGCGAUGAUCCGUAGCUGGUCUGAGAGGAUGAUCAGCCACACUGGAACUGAGACACGGUCCAGACUCCUACGGGAGGCAGCAGUGGGGAAUAUUGGACAAUGGGCGCAAGCCUGAUCCAGCCAUACCGCGUGGGUGAAGAAGGCCUUCGGGUUGUAAAGCCCUUUUGUUGGGAAAGAAAAGCAGCAGGUUAAUACCCCGCUGUUCUGACGGUACCCAAAGAAUAAGCACCGGCUAACUUCGUG
rnacentral:rRNA from 1 species